rnacentral:tRNA from 1 species
GGAGCCAUGGUGUAACGGCAGCACGGCGCUCUGUGGCAGCGUCGGCGAGGGUUCAACUCCCUCUGGCUCCC